GUGAAUCUAGGUUUCUCGUUUAACGUGUGUCCUCCAUGGCUGCAGAAGGCGGGUGUCCAUCCCUUCCUUCCAGCUCCGAGCUGCAUGCCAGGCACCUCUAAGGUCCGCCUGCCCUUCCCUUUGGGAGCAGUGGGGCUGAGCCUCC